rnacentral:rRNA from 1 species
AGAUUAAGUUAUUAAGGGCGCACGGUGGAUGCCUUGGCACUAGAAGCCGAAGAAGGACGUUACUAACGACGAUAUGCUUUGGGUAGCUGUAAGUAAGCGUUGAUCCAGAGAUUUCCGAAUGGGGGAACCCAACAUGAGUGAUGUCAUGUUAUCGACAUGUGAAUUCAUAGCAUGUCAGAAGGCAGACCCGGAGAACUGAAACAUCUUAGUACCCGGAGGAAGAGAAAGAAAAAUCGAUUCCCUGAGUAGCGGCGAGCGAAACGGGAAGAGCCCAAACCAACAAGCUUGCUUGUUGGGGUUGUAGGACACUCUAUACGGAGUUACAAAAGAACAUGUUAGACGAAUCAUCUGGAAAGAUGAAUCAAAGAAGGUAAUAAUCCUGUAGUCGAAAACAUAUUCUCUCUUGAGUGGAUCCUGAGUACGACGGAGCACGUGAAAUUCCGUCGGAAUCUAGGAGGACCAUCUCCUAAGGCUAAAUACUCUCUAGUGACCGAUAGUGAACCAGUACCGUGAGGGAAAGGUGAAAAGUACCCCGGAAGGGGAGUGAAAGAGAACUUGAAACCGUGUGCUUACAAGUAGUCAGAGCCCGUUAAUGGGUGAUGGCGUGCCUUUUGUAGAAUGAACCGGCGAGUUACGAUCUGAUGCAAGGUUAAGCAGCAAAUGUGGAGCCGUAGCGAAAGCGAGUCUGAAUAGGGCGUUGAGUAUUUGGUCGUAGACCCGAAACCAGGUGAUCUACCCUUGGUCAGGUUGAAGUUCAGGUAACACUGAAUGGAGGACCGAACCGACUUACGUUGAAAAGUGAGCGGAUGAACUGAGGGUAGCGGAGAAAUUCCAAUCGAACUUGGAGAUAGCUGGUUCUCUCCGAAAUAGCUUUAGGGCUAGCCUCAAGUGAUGAUUAUUGGAGGUAGAGCACUGUUUGGACGAGGGGCCCCUCUCGGGUUACCGAAUUCAGACAAACUCCGAAUGCCAAUCAAUUUAACUUGGGAGUCAGAACAUGGGUGAUAAGGUCCGUGUUCGAAAGGGAAACAGCCCAGACCACCAGCUAAGGUCCCAAAAUAUAUGUUAAGUGGAAAAGGAUGUGGCGUUGCCCAGACAACUAGGAUGUUGGCUUAGAAGCAGCCAUCAUUUAAAGAGUGCGUAAUAGCUCACUAGUCGAGUGACACUGCGCCGAAAAUGUACCGGGGCUAAACAUAUUACCGAAGCUGUGGAUUGUCCGUAGGACAAUGGUAGGAGAGCGUUCUAAGGGCGUUGAAGCAUGAUCGCAAGGACAUGUGGAGCGCUUAGAAGUGAGAAUGCCGGUGUGAGUAGCGAAAGACGGGUGAGAAUCCCGUCCACCGAUUGACUAAGGUUUCCAGAGGAAGGCUCGUCCGCUCUGGGUUAGUCGGGUCCUAAGCUGAGGCCGACAGGCGUAGGCGAUGGAUAACAGGUUGAUAUUCCUGUACCACCUAGUAUCGUUUUAAUCGAUGGGGGGACGCAGUAGGAUAGGCGAAGCGUGCUGUUGGAGUGCACGUCCAAGCAGUAAGGCUGAGUGUUAGGCAAAUCCGGCACUCGUAAGGCUGAGCUGUGAUGGGGAGAGGAAAUUGUUUCCUCGAGUCGUUGAUUUCACACUGCCGAGAAAAGCCUCUAGAUAGAUAACAGGUGCCCGUACCGCAAACCGACACAGGUAGUCAAGAUGAGAAUUCUAAGGUGAGCGAGCGAACUCUCGUUAAGGAACUCGGCAAAAUGACCCCGUAACUUCGGGAGAAGGGGUGCUCUUUAGGGUUCACGCCCAGAAGAGCCGCAGUGAAUAGGCCCAAGCGACUGUUUAUCAAAAACACAGGUCUCUGCUAAACCGUAAGGUGAUGUAUAGGGGCUGACGCCUGCCCGGUGCUGGAAGGUUA